rfam:Gasterosteus aculeatus cont1.000496, whole genome shotgun sequence.
AUUAAAGUGUAAUGUAAGUCGCUUUGGAUAAAAGCGUCUGCUAAAUGACAUGUA